rnacentral:rRNA from 1 species
CCCUUAGAUGUUCUGGGCCGCACACGCGCUACACUGAAGGAGGCAGCGUGUACUCCUGGAUCGAAAGAUUUGGGUAACCCGCGAAUCUCCUUCGUGCUAGGGAUUGAGGUUUGCAAUUAUCCUUCAUGAACGAGGAAUUCCUAGUAAGCGCAAGUCAACAGCUUGCGCUGAUUACGUCCCUGCCCUUUGUACACACCGCCCGUCGCUCCUACCGAUUGGGUGAUCCGGUGAAUGGUUCGGACUCUGGCUAUGCUAGCUACUAGCUACGUCAGGGAAAGUUCUGUGAACCUUAUCACUUGGAGGAAGGAGAAGUCGUAACA